rnacentral:lncRNA from 1 species
AGAAGCACACUGAAACCUAUCCAAAAGCAUCCCAGGAGGGCACACUGAGUGCCGCAUGGAGCCUGCACCACCAUGGGGAGGAAGCAGCCACCGCCUUCCUGAAUCCCCACCAGGCAGAAACAUCUCUCCCGUCUUUGAACUUCACCACGCCGUGCAUCUUCCUCUGGGUGUGCAAUCGUCACCUGCGUACAUGAUUGAUUCUGCCCCCAACACUAGACUGUGAGUACCCUUUGCGGGCAGAGCUAUGUGUCCUUAUCACCAGAGUCUUGCACAGCACUUAAUAGAUGCUCAGGAAACAUCUUUGUCAGCAUAGUAUAGCUGGAUGUAGAAAUCUCUGAAAACAUAGAGGCCAGAGUUCAUCAGAAAGCGUUAGAAGGACUUCACAAGGUUCACUGGAAAGAAGUAAAGCUUAGAGAUCUGUGGAAGGAGGCAAAGGGCCAUUUGAAAGCAGAGAACAGGUGAGGGGCUGUGCAUUAGGAGUGGAAGAGCCCAUUGGAGGCCUGCGGACUUGGAACGAAAGGGUCUUUCACUACAUAUCCCAUCCACCCACCUGGGAAGCCCUUCUCCCUGCCCCCAACCCAGACACAUGUCCCAGUUGGAUGCUGGACAGAGGCUUUGAAUAUGAGGCAGAAAAACUUUGGCUCAGAAUAGGAAGGCCCUGCUGGCUCCUGGAAAGGUUUCUAGCAGGAUAAAAACUAUUUUUAAAAGGUAGCCUGGAUCAUGUCACUCUUUCACUUAAAGUGCUUCAGAAGUUUCUCAUUUCUCUUAGCAGGCAGAAAGAACUCAAAGCUCAGAUGGUCAGGGUCCUGUUGGUUCAUCAAGCUCAGCCUGCCUGGAGGCAGCCACUGUGUUGUUCCCUCUCUUCGUCCUCCCUCUGCACUCUCUCUUGCCACGGGACAUUUGCACAAGCAGUUCCCUCUAACUGGAACACUAAGAAAUAUGGAAGUAAAAGGGGUUGGGAGAAAAGACAGGAGUCACAGGUGACUGUGUGGGAUGAGGAGAGUCGUGAAAACUUUUUUUUUUUUUUUUUGAGAUGGAGUCUCGCUUUGUCACCCAGGCUGGAGUGCCAGUGGUGCCAAUCUCGGCUCACCGCAACUUCCACCUCCCAGGUUCAAGCAGUUCUCCUGCCUCAGCCUCCUGAGUAGCUGGGAUUACAGUUGCCUGCCACCACGCCUGGCUAAUAUUUGUAUUCUUAGUAGAGAAGAGGUUUCACCAUGUUGGCCAGGCUGGUCUCAAACUCCUGACCUCAGGUGAUCCACCUGCCUCAGCCUCCCAAAGUGCUGGGAUUACAGGCAUGAGCCACUGCACCCGGCCGAAAACAUUAAGAGUAGGUGGAUGUUACUUUGGACACCAAAUGAAGAAGUGUGCCGAGCUGAAAGAGAAAAGGAGAAGAAAAUGGACAUGACAUUUACGGGGUUCCUCUUGCAGAGAGAGAACCGUGUAGAAGGUCCACACCCGCCGUAUCCUACUGCACGGUGCUGGAAGGCACAUGGAAGACUAUUGCAGCCCAAUCUUCUCAUGACAAAGACAGGAAAAUGGAGCCCUCUAAGAGAAAGUGACUGAUCCACCCUUAUGCUCUUAAAUGGUAAGCGUCCAGGGAUCAUCCAAGUUAAGAUGGCCCACACGCAGCUGGCAAGGCAGGACCCGAGGCUGAAUGAGACGUACAAUUGGCUCCACGGUACUGGCAGAACCCACAGCUAGUUUUCAAUGCUGAGAACUGUCCAUCCUGGCAGAGGCUCACUGCCCUCUGUGCCCUCCCUGGUUGCCUGGGCAGAUGGUGAGCUCUGGUUGCCAAGGAGCCCGCGUUGGCAGUUCUGAAAUGGGGUGCGUCAGCAGCCUCGCUCCAGCGGCUUCCCACAUCCUUGAGUAACCACCACACAAAGGUGCUGGGCAUGAGACCAAGGGUGCGGCGGAGAUCGAAUUAGUAAUACACACUCGGUGACCCUCCCCAGCCAGGUUUCACUGCGUGCUUAUGACCAACAUUCAUCCCUUCCUUAGCAUCUGUGGUGUCUUUAAGGGCCAAGUAAAAAGGUAAAACUGCAGGGAGUCAGGAGGGGGAAACUGGCCUGGGGUACAGAGUCCCUCACAAUGAAAAUAUAUGUAACUGGCUACUUGUAGGUCAUGAUGCAUUAAGUGAUCCUGUCAAAAGUUGAAAGUGGGCUACAGUGGGACAGGCAAUGCCCAGAGGGAGGCAGAAAGGUGUAAAUAAUCCGAGGUGAAUGUGGGUCUUGUUGGCAUGGUAGAUUUAUGCCCUGCCUUCAUAAUGUACCCUUUCAUCUUGGGAGCCUGGAUUCCAAAAAUCUAGUCUAGACAGGAAUUGAUGGUGCUACCUCUCAGCUUACAUCGUUCAAGGUUUCUCAACACCAAAGACUCCUGAAUAUUGAUGGGAACAACCCACUUAGCCAGGGGAUAUUGCUCAGAACUCAGGAGGCCAAAGGCAUCAUUCUUCCAGGCACGGAGGCCCUGCUCAGAAACAGCCCUACAGAGGCAGAGUCACUCAUUCUGGGGGAUGACGCUGCCUUUUGUCUUCAUCUCCCCAAGUGGGAGACAAGUCCCAUCACGCCUGCCACCUGGCAGUCAGCCUUGCGCCUUCUCUUUCGUCCUUUUCAUGUGUGCUCCGUGCCGGUUUCAGCAGCUUUCAUCAGAGACUGAAACUACCACCACUCCCAUCACCUCCCAGGGCCAUGGGCAGGCCCUGGCUGACAGAUCCAGGCCUAGGAGCCUGGGCAACGAUAAAUAGGUGGUUGGGAGGACCUCUCCGAGCCCCCUUCUCUGCCCAGGCAGGCUUUCUCCUUGGGUGGCCAGAGCCAGGGCCCAGGAUCCCCUGCUGCAAGAACUGAGAGGCUGAGGGGCUUCACUCCUGAGGAAGGUCCUCUCUUCCUAAUCCCCGUGCUUUGGGCCCAGCAAAUUCAGCCUGGGAACUGGGGGCUGCUGUGGAAGAGAGAUGGAGCUAGGGAGCAUUUAUAGUGCAGCACCUGAGGCUGAGCAGUGACAGAGCUGCGGGCCUGAGAAUUACAAAACAGACUUAAACAGAUGAAAUAUUGCCCAGGCAUGGUGGCUCUUGCCUGUAAUCCUAGCACUUUGGGAGGCCGAGGCAGGCGGAUCACUUGAGGUCAGGAGUUUGAGACCAGCCUGGCCAACAUGGUGAAACCCCAUCUCUACUAAAUAUUAGCUGGGUGUGGUGGUGGGCACCUGUAAUCCCAGCUACUUGGGAGGCUGAGGCAGGAGAAUUGCUUGAACCCGGGUGGCAGAGGUUGCAGUGAUCUGAGAUCGUGCCACUGCACUCCAGCCUGGGUGACAGAGCCAGACUCUGUCUAAAAAAAAAAAAACAAAACAAAACAACAACAACAACAAAAACCCAUGAAAUAUUAACUGAUGCAGGGAAAACAGACAAAAACUAUACAUGCUCAAAACAAAACGAAAAAGGGCACAGGGCUCAGAAACCAGUUUGUCGUCUUUGUGAACAGCUGGGAACUCUGACUCAUGCACUGUCCCCUGUUCUCUAUGCCACAGGAAUGAGGCAGCAAGAGGCCAGAUUCUGCCGGAGACAGAGCAGAGAGCCAAACCAUCGCCACUUAUUGGUGCAUGAACCUGGGCAAGGCAGGGGUAUCCCUGAGCCUCAGCUUCCUUGUUUGCAAAAUGGUGACAUGCCUACUUCCAGAGCUGUUGUUAAGGUUAAAUGAUGACGCAGUUUACCAUAUGCCAGGCACAUAGUAGGCACUAAAUAGUUGCAAUUAUUAGCCCUGAGCAAACAUUGCUCAGCCAUUCCCUUGUAAAGCCUAUUCUCAAACCAACUUUCCAUGUGGACGUUCAAUCAUCUUUCUGGAUGACCUCGCCUUACCCAUUGCCUCAGAUUCUGUGUGUGUGUGUGUAUAGAAGAAACAAAGAAAAAAAGUGCUUUUCACAUAGUGAGGACAUUUCCCCAUCCUAUGAGUCUGUGUAUGUGUGUGCAUAUGUAUAUGUAUGUACACACACACACACACACACACACACACACACACACACACUGCCCCGUGGAAUAGGCAGGACGGGGUUGCAUUUCCCCUCUUUUAAAGGUGAGGAUGCUGAGCCUCAGAAAGAUCAAGUGACCUGAACAAAGUCACACAGCCAAUGUGUUUCUCCAAAAGAAAUGACCAGGAGUCAGUGUUUCUUUAUACAAGGGUGUCCAAUCUUUUGGCUUCUCGGCCACACUGGAAGAAGAAGAAUUGUCUUGGGCCACACAUAAAGUACACUAGCACUAAUGAUAGCUGAUGAGCUAAAAAAAUAAAAAUAAAAAUCACACACAAAAAACAGUGUUUUAAGAAAGUUUACAAAUUUGUAUUGGGCUACAUUCAAAGCCGUCCUGGGCCAUGGGUUGGACAAGCUUGCUCCACCAUAAACACGUGAUGAACAGACAUUGAAAUCGUACCUUUAGGGCUGUUUUAGGAACACAAGAGGCAUCAUCUGGCUAUCUUGAGAAAGCAGAUUUCAAUUUUCUAUUCAUUAAAGAAAUGUGCUUCCAUCUACCUUGAAAUCAUUUUGAUGAUUUCCAGAUUCAAGUCCCUGAAUAAAUUCCAGGGAAAGUCACGUCACGGGACAGAAUGGCCGUCACCUUGAAAAAAAAUUAUUUUCUCCUGGAGGCACUACUGAGGCUCAGCGAUCCCACGUCUGCCACUCCCUCCUACUGCAUGUGGUAUCCCUGAGUCUCCGCUCAGGGAAAACAGACAAAACUACACAUGCUCAAAACAGAACAAAAAUGGGAACAGGGCUCAGAAACCAGUUUGUCUGGUUCCAGUCAUUUCCACCGCAAUGACAGAUCCAGUGACCUUGGCAGCCCUCAUCCAUUCACCACAUCUUCCCAUUACCACCUAACGUGCCCCUCCCAAUAGCUCCGUGUGGUAGAGGCUGCACACAGGCUCAGGAUUCCCACUUCACAGGUGAUAAUGUCAAGGUGCAGUGACAUGCAGCUUCUUGUCCCAGGUCAGGUGUCUCAUGAUUGUUGAGCCACUGUCUUCUGACUCAGCCAGUGAUCUUUCCUUUGGACCACAACCCCUCUGAAAAGCACUGUGCUGAGAAACAUGGGUUUACUUUACCUAUUGCUAUUUUGUACGUUUGAAACGAUCUUUCCAAAACAGAUUUAAUAAUUGAAAGUUUUGCUCUCUGUUCCUUGGAGAAAAGGGACAUGCUUUGAGGAAGGAAUUGGAACCCGAACAGUCAUGUUUUAUAGGCAUUCAUGUUUAUUUCUCUGAUAUUAUGGCUUCCUCUGGAAAAAUCCAACCAACACAUCCGUUUCAAGUCUUGAGAAACUCCCAAAUGUUGACCAUGUGUCUGAUUCCUGUGUGGUCAAAAGAGUGAUGUUUCUUAAUGUCCACAACUUAUUUCCAUGUUAAAAUAAUUCCACGCUCAGCUAAAUCCCACUUACACACAAGUGUGCACCUGUUAAAAUAGGUCAUUUUUCACUGCUAAUCUUCCAGAUUCCAUGAGUAUGUGUGGGAACCCCAGACAAAUGCAACUUGAAUGUCACAAAAGGCAUUUUUCUUUGCUGAGUGACCCUGGUUGGCCCAGACACCCUGGGUGCCUUGCUCCCACAGAUUUGUAAAACUAAGGAAGAUCCCUUUCUGCUGAGAGAAUGGAUUGGAAUUAAAUCUUAGCAUAGAAGGCCUUGGGUGAAACUGUAUGGAAUUUUGUCUUACAACUGGGUUAUUUUUUAAUUAGAUUUUUGUCGAUCUUUUUUCAACUCUGAAGUAUGUCAGUAUGGAAACUCAGUAACUUUUCUCAAUGCUCCCCAUAAAGCUAAAAAUUAAAAAGAAGAGAAGAGAAAUAAAAAGGGAAAAAAUUAAAAUUUCAGAGCAAGAAGCUCUAGCCUCUGAGAUUUUGUUACUGUUGCAAAAGUAAUAGGUCAUCUUUGCCACAACCUCAAUGCUAAAAAGUAGAUGCACAAAAAAGCAAUUUUUAUCCCAAAGUCUUCUUGGCGAUGAGAUUUUUUUUCCUGCUUCAGAUUUGGCAUGCUUCCAGAAACCCAAGGGCCCUAAAUCAAUAUCAAGUGACCGCUUCCAACUCGUAAGAGCCUCUAGGGCUCAUUGCAAAUGUGGGCUCUGGGUUCCAGAGAGACAGGCUUAAAGAAAUUGAUGGCAAAAAUGGGAAGCUCUGUGGCUGACCUCAGUUGCAGGAUCCGUGCUGGGACAGCCUGUCCUCCGCUCCAUGAUUUGUGAGGGCCUGCCUGGUAUUGCUAAUCUUCCUGACAGUUUAGUUUGAAGAGAAAAGGGGCCAGUGGCACUGUAGGCAACAUCAGACAAGCCACAGAUCUCCUGGGAGAUCUAAGCUCUCCAGGAGGCAGAUAACAACAUUUUGCCUUUCCACGGGGUUGUUAAUAUACAUAUGAAUCCCAAAUACAAGAAUGGGCUCUUCAAACUGGUUUAUUUAAACACUUUUUCUGAGACACACGUUUCAAGAAGGGGAUAAAGAGGGUGUGAUGUGGAUCCUGUGCUGUCUUCAAAGAAGGGAAGGUGGACUGCUAUGUUUCUAGUGUAGAAUCUGGCACAGAAACCACCCAUAGCAGGUGCGCCACGGACCUGCUUUAGCUGGAAGGAUCCUUUCUACAUUCCUUCCACCACCUAGUGAGUGGCCACGUUGAUGAUGAGACCUGGGCCUUUAAAAAUCCUCUUUCAGGUCUCCAGCCAACCCUCUCCAUUCAACUCAGUUUCACAAACCUUUUCUUAGCAGCCACCCAUUCCCAAGGACUGUAGUGGGUGCCGCAGGGGAGACAGAGGUGAAGGAGACACAGUCCUUUCUGCUGAUUCUGCGGCUGAGUCAGCUGAUAGCCUACGUCUAUUUGCCAAGAAUAUGAUCAACUGAGUGAAAACAACAAAAUAAAAAACGCUGAGUUGGGGAGAUGACUCGACUCGGGAGGAUAAUGAGAAUGUCCAAGCUGUGAGUCCCCUGGAGGCCAAGGCAAGUUUGCAGCUGGCAUGGUAACAGCAGGGUGGUUGCUGAGGGAAACUGAAACCAUGUCACAUGGAAAAGAUUUGUAGGAGUGGAGGGCCUUUGGCCUGGAGAAGAAAAGCCUUGGAGAACAGAAAGGCUGGUUUCACAUACCUGAGAGACUGCCAUGGGGAAGACCCAUACUUUGUUCUCUGGGGCCCCAGAGGGGGCCCACCAUAGAACAGGACUAUGGUGGGGAUACGUAGGGGGACCGAUUGCAGCUCGAAAUUGCGAAGUCCUGUCCUUGUCAGAGCUGUCCCAGGUGGAGUGGGAUGUACCAGGAGGUGGUGAGUUCCUGUCAUUGCAGGGAUUUCAGUCGGGGUGGAGAGCCCACUAAACAAAGACGCUGUGGAGAAGAACCAAGCAUGGAGGAGGGUGGAGGGCCUGAUCUUCUAAGCUUCACUCUCUGCCUGGGAGUCUUCGAUUCCUCCCUCCUCUUACUAUAACUUAAUGAGCUGCUAACGCCAACACCUGGCUUCUUAUUCAAACAUGCUUAAAUGUGAACGGGGAAGACUGGCAUCAGAGGUGGGCAGAUUAACAACAAACUCCCUCAGGGGUCUCCAAAAUGAGAGAGAAGGGACAAAGGCAGAAUCGUUCUGCGUGCCUGCAAGUUGGAUUUGGAGUCUCCACACUGUGCCUCUGGCCGUUGAACAGAAGAGGGGUCUCUUUGCUGUGUCUUUAGCAAGGUGACAAGCAAGAGAGCUGGGUAGCACAGCCUGGGGCUCACAGGCAGCAGAUCACCUUCAGCUCCCCAGGCCCCUCUGUCAUGGACUCAGGCCACUGCUGGGACUCAGUCACCAGGACAGGGAGAGCCCAGAGGGCACUGCUCCACAGGGUGGGCACAGCAAACAGCCCUUCCCCACACUCCCACUCUUCCCGGCAGAGAGGGUGCCUGCGGUGUGACUCGAGGGAACUCGGCCUAUUCAUCUCACCCGCUUCUGCCUAUCUCUCCACACACACUUUUGUCAUUGUUAAAACCAUGAGCAGCUUUUUCCUGAUAUCACAGUCUAGGAAAUCGAUGCCUCGUUCAGUGAGCCAGCACUUGCUGUGCUCUUGCCACAGGUUGGGACUGUGUGGAUGGAUGCCCCAUUGCUUAGGGAGCACAGAGGAGGGACCUAGCUCGGGCUGGGGCUUUACAGAAGGCUUCCGAGAAGGGAUGUCAUUGGCCUGACUCUUAAGAGGAAGGAAAAGAAGAGCACCAAGUACAAAUGAUUAGCACUACUCAUCAGCAAAUCAGGAGACUGGGCGUGUAGGGAGAUGAGGCUGAGGAAGUCACUCUGAACACACACGAGGGGCCUGAUUGUCACCUGAAAUGCCUGAUGUUUUCCUGUUGGUUAUGGGAAACAGAGGGAUGACAUAGAUUGAUUUAUAGAGAUUUUUCUGCCUGCAUCAAAGGCAUCAUAAACAAGAGGGUAGGACUAGUGGCAAAGAAACGAGUCAGAAUUGUUUAGUCGAGACAUGAGAAGACCCUGAGCUAGCUCAGUGGUAGCAGGGUGGAAAGGAAGGGACCAAAAGGAGAAAUAUUUUGGAUUUAAAAAUUAACAAGACUGUCCAACAAAUAGAAGAUACAGAGACAAAUGAUUCAAUAAGGCAAGGGUCAAAAGACUUGAACAGGCACUUCACAAAAGAAGAUAAUGCCCAAUUAAGCACAUGAAAGAGUGUUCAACAUUAAAUAUCAGGGAAAUGCGAGUUAAAACUACAGUAAGACAGCAGUUCAUACCCCUUAGAAUGGCUAAAAUCAAAACAAAUGAUCAUACCAAGUGCUGGUGGGAAUGUGAGGAACCUGGAACUCUCAUGCACUGCUGGUGGGAGAGGCCAAUGGCAGAAACUCUUUGAAGGACUCUGAGAGUGUCUUAUAAGUGUACAUCUACCCUAUAAGCAAGCAAUUCCACUGCUAGGUAUUUGCCCAAGAAAACUAUGUUUAUACAGACUUGUAUAAGAAAAAUAUGUUCCCAAUAAAAUUGUAAAGAAUGUUUAUGGCAGUCUUAUUCAAAUAUUGAAGAACUGGCAGCAACCCAGAUGUCCACCAGGAAGUACAUGGAUAAACAACCUAUGGUAUGUCCAUAUAAUGGAAUAUCACUAAGCAAUAGAAAGGAACAAACUAUUUAUAUAUUCAGUGUAACAUGGAUGACUGGCAAAACCAUUAUGGGAAGUGAAGGAAACCAGACCCAGAAUAGUACACACUGUAUGAUUCCAUUUACAUGAAAUCCAAAUGUAGACAAACGAAUAUAUAAUGUUAGACACCAGUUUGUGGGUUUAUGUAAGUGUUUUGGGGUGUUAGGUGGGGGGUUGUUGACCAGUUAGAGGCAUGAGGGAACUUCCUCAAAGAAUAGAAAUGUC